UCUUCUAGCGACAGGGUAGGCGGUUUACACUACCCUGGAUGUCAGCGAUCGUGGUGAGCCCCUUCGUCGCUCGCCGCGUCUUCUUGGAGAGCGGGCGCAGUUAGGUUAAAAUUACGACGCCGUCGGGGGGAGGGGUAGGAGCCUUAGACAACGUAAGUUAUGUUGAAAGCUUUUUGUUAGUAAAAAGAUUACGCGGGGUCGAUGGAUCUAGGUCGGUUUCCGAGGUUCGGGGUAGUCGGUCGUGACAAGCCGGAGGUAAUCGCCGCGUGCUCGCUCGAAGAGGCGGGGGAGCGGAGGCGACUAAUGGCGACCACGCUAAUCGCCUCGCGAGUGCUUCUCUCUCUGGUCGUCACUUCCGCUCCGGAAGCUCGAGCGCUAGGGAAAAGGAGACGACGACGGGCGUUCUAAUGUUUUAGGGCGCAAACAGGACAACGGCGACGACGGCGACCGCGACGAGAGCCCUCCCGCCGGUAUCUUUCCUCUAUUCCUCUCCUUCUUUGCCUUUUUUCUUUUAUUUCCGACCUCCGAAAACCUCGAGUAUUAAAAACCGGAAAGAGACGCGAGGGGCCCCUCUAAAAGGCCGCGAAAGAGAGAAAGAAAGGCCUCCACCCUCUCUUAGGUCGGAGACUUAAGCGUCAAAGACCAGACCAGGUUCCGCUCUCUCACAAGAACGAACUCAGCCACAACUAGGUUACCCGCUCUACUUGGUGGUCGGGCCCCACGGCGGCGGCCACCCGCACGGUGGCGGGUACCCCUACGUCGGGUACUACUUGCGAGGCCAGCCGCGCCCGCGGUACGUGGUCGGGAUGCUCGUCAAGUUGGUUGAGUUGAUGACGCAGGUGAGGUUAGGAAGAACCCAAGUCCAUCGUCCCGAACGUAAGGAGGUGAUGGAUCACUACAACCCGAGCUGACAGUACGAACACAGUUAAUAACAAGGACGUUACCCACCACCAGGACCACUCUUCCGAGCACAAUAAGUUCGCAAGGACAAACACUCACCGUAAUUAUGAGACGAGGUUUGUGAGCAACCCUGUGCUGAAGGUUGUCAAUACUUACGGAGGAAGCGUAAACAACAGGGUCACGACAGUUAUCGGUCUGUCAAAUUGUGUUUGCUGAAACUUUCAUUAGUGCUCUCUAAGCAAGUGUGUUACUCUCGUUGAGUUCCCCGAGAUUAACAACGAAGUUAGGAGUUGUACUAAGAACCUAUGUCGUCUCGUACCCCCCGUAAACGGUUCUUUAAGUCAGGACAUUAUUACUGAGGACAACAAACACAGCAACCAGAACCUGAUAAAGUUUAACCGAAAGGAGUCCAACCUUUUACACAACUCUAACCCAACGGUUACGAUUAAGAACGCUAACAACACGUUGUCAUACGCGGUGAAAUGAAGUCUGUAUAGGUACUGGCUUGUUGGAAGAACAAACUCUCCAUAAGCAACGAAGAAACAUAGCCGUAACACACCCGGAAACGUCGAUAGGAAUGACGACGACCACGUAUGUUGGUACAAAGCGAGUUCUGUGUUGUCGUGACGGCGUGACUGUUCAGAAAGGAAUAUAGUAGACGUGGUACCUAGUUUUAAAGUAUGGGGAAGGUAACCCCAGGUGGUUAGAAGUGACGUCCAGUAAGUAAACCUUACUACCCACGACACGAACAAAGUAGAAAACUCAGUUGGCCACGUGUGAAACGUUGACGUGCAGAUCGGCCACGUUGUGGUGGGGGUCGAGUACAAGAAUGAGCUUCAUAACCAAAUGUCCCGUAACCCUAUAAGGACCGUCCUGACACACCACGAGGUCGGCCAAGUAGACAUAGUCAGCUUUUGUAGCCCGAUGAACCUAAUUGUUUUCAACCUUCAUCCUCUCACUAGGUCUAUAGUUGACCGAAGUACUAUAAGAAGAGGUAUAAACCCUUCAAACCCCGCAAGAAGCGUAGUUAGGGCAACGGUUAGAAGCGUCGUUAAAUGACGUAGAACAAACCAUAGCAUCGACGACACCCUUAGAGCAAGUCGGUCAAACGUUUGUUUUUGAGGUACUCCUUGUAGAUGUAGUAACCUGAUAGGAACAAGGAACCGUAGAGCUAGGGAGUUAUAAAGCGUCUCAUGUGGCGAAGACGACCGGCGCCUGGACGGGCUUGUUUACGUCCUACCAAGUUACUGUAGUAGUUGUGUCAAAAACGGAGGCCGGGUUGCCACCGCGACUAGCAGCGCAGCGAAGACCUGUUGUGCGACCUCGGGGCACGGUUGCUCUUGCUGGCUCCCGAGAGUACCAAGUGCGGUAAAGACGCGGCGGCAUUUCCCAUGAGCCUGGGGUCCUUGCUCCUCAAGAUGUCGAUGGGCUAUGCCCAGGUACUGAACCAAGGCGUGGCCAAAGAGACUAAGAUCUUCCCCACGACGAUUAAUAGGACACGACGACACGUUACAUUUAGGGGAAACAAGAACAAUCGGAAAAUGGGGGACACCGGGCAUCGCUAACCACGCCAGUGUCCAAAGUCGAAUCACCCUAUAUACCAUGUUCCUACGAUCCUGAAGGCAGCAACGACAACAACCGGCAAACCCGGUUCCUCAACCAAUGUACCAACUGCAUCUCAAAAUAACAGGCCCACAUUACGACAGAGACCCCUUUUUACUUACGUUUUCCUACUAUCAUGGAGUUAAUAACCAAUGGCUCCGUCACUACACAACUACUUGGAAGUCACGCACGCAACCAAAUACUUUAGAAACGUUCAUUUGACCGGACUAGAAAACGUAAAAUAGUGUUCUACGAGUUUUAGUUUCCAACCAUCCAUACGCAUGAGACUACUUGAACGUCAGCCGCACACGGAUCAUUAACGUACCUAAGUGUACCAGCUAUAGAAAACCAGAUAUUUUCUCGUCGGACUUCUCUGCCGGAUACGGUCCUUUUGCUUCGCGCCAAAAGCAAGCACCUCCGGUGCCGUUUCCGGCCGUAAACGAUAACACUCUAACACU
rnacentral:rRNA from 1 species